CUUCUUUUUCACCGGAGCUUGCUCCACCGGAAAAAGAAGAGUGGCGAACGGGUGAGUAACACGUGGGUAACCUGCCCAUCAGAAGGGGAUAACACUUGGAAACAGGUGCUAAUACCGUAUAACAAUCGAAACCGCAUGGUUUUGAUUUGAAAGGCGCUUUCGGGUGUCGCUGAUGGAUGGACCCGCGGUGCAUUAGCUAGUUGGUGAGGUAACGGCUCACCAAGGCCACGAUGCAUAGCCGACCUGAGAGGGUGAUCGGCCACAUUGGGACUGAGACACGGCCCAAACUCCUACGGGAGGCAGCAGUAGGGAAUCUUCGGCAAUGGACGAAAGUCUGACCGAGCAACGCCGCGUGAGUGAAGAAGGUUUUCGGAUCGUAAAACUCUGUUGUUAGAGAAGAACAAGGAUGAGAGUAACUGUUCAUCCCUUGACGGUAUCUAACCAGAAAGCCACGGCUAACUACGUGCCAGCAGCCGCGGUAAUACGUAGGUGGCAAGCGUUGUCCGGAUUUAUUGGGCGUAAAGCGAGCGCAGGCGGUUUCUUAAGUCUGAUGUGAAAGCCCCCGGCUCAACCGGGGAGGGUCAUUGGAAACUGGGAGACUUGAGUGCAGAAGAGGAGAGUGGAAUUCCAUGUGUAGCGGUGAAAUGCGUAGAUAUAUGGAGGAACACCAGUGGCGAAGGCGGCUCUCUGGUCUGUAACUGACGCUGAGGCUCGAAAGCGUGGGGAGCAAACAGGAUUAGAUACCCUGGUAGUCCACGCCGUAAACGAUGAGUGCUAAGUGUUGGAGGGUUUCCGCCCUUCAGUGCUGCAGCUAACGCAUUAAGCACUCCGCCUGGGGAGUACGACCGCAAGGUUGAAACUCAAAGGAAUUGACGGGGGCCCGCACAAGCGGUGGAGCAUGUGGUUUAAUUCGAAGCAACGCGAAGAACCUUACCAGGUCUUGACAUCCUUUGACCACUCUAGAGAUAGAGCUUCCCCUUCGGGGGCAAAGUGACAGGUGGUGCAUGGUUGUCGUCAGCUCGUGUCGUGAGAUGUUGGGUUAAGUCCCGCAACGAGCGCAACCCUUAUUGUUAGUUGCCAUCAUUUAGUUGGGCACUCUAGCAAGACUGCCGGUGACAAACCGGAGGAAGGUGGGGAUGACGUCAAAUCAUCAUGCCCCUUAUGACCUGGGCUACACACGUGCUACAAUGGGAAGUACAACGAGUCGCGAAGUCGCGAGGCUAAGCUAAUCUCUUAAAGCUUCUCUCAGUUCGGAUUGUAGGCUGCAACUCGCCUACAUGAAGCCGGAAUCGCUAGUAAUCGCGGAUCAGCACGCCGCGGUGAAUACGUUCCCGGGCCUUGUACACACCGCCCGUCACACCACGAGAGUUUGUAACACCCGAAGUCGGGAG
rnacentral:rRNA from 1 species